rnacentral:rRNA from 1 species
AGUUUGAUCCUGGCUCAGGAUGAACGCUAGCGGCAGGCUUAAUACAUGCAAGUCGUGGGGCAGCAGGUUUGUAGCAAUACAGAUGCUGGCGACCGGCAAACGGGUGCGGAACACGUACAGAACCUUCCUUUGAGCGGGGAAUAGCCCAGAGAAACUUGGAUUAAUACCCCAUAGUAUAAUGAAGUGGCAUCACUUUAUUAUUAAAGAUUUAUCACUCGAAGAUGGCUGUGCGGCUGAUUAGGUAGUUGGCGGGGUAAAGGCCCACCAAGCCUGCGAUCAGUAACUGGUGUGAGAGCACGACCAGUCACACGGGCACUGAGACACGGGCCCGACUCCUACGGGAGGCAGCAGUAAGGAAUAUUGGUCAAUGGAGGCAACUCUGAACCAGCCAUGCCGCGUGGAGGAUGAAGGUCCUCUGGAUUGUAAACUUUCUUUUAUAUGGGACGAAAAAAGGCUUUCUAAGUCGUCUGACGGUACCAUAUGAAUAAGCACCGGCUAACUCCGUG